AUGAUGCGCCGCUGCCACUGCCGCUGCUGCUGCCGCAGCUGCUGCUGGCAACCACCCCGUGCCCUGAGGCCGUUGCUGUUGCUGCCCCUCGUCCUUGUACCUCCCCUGGCAGCAGCUGCAGCGGGCCCAAACCGCUGUGACACCAUAUACCAGGGCUUCGCCGAGUGUCUCAUCCGCUUGGGGGACGGCAUGGGCCGCGGAGGAGAGCUGGAGACCGUCUGCAGAUCUUGGAAUGACUUCCAUGCCUGUGCCUCUCGGGUCCUGUUGGGCUGUCCGGAGGAGGCAGCUGCAGUGUGGGAAUCACUACAGCAAGAAGCUCGCCGGGCCCCCCAUCCGAAUAACUUGCACACCCUGUGCAGCGCCCCGGUGCGUGUUCGGGAGCGCGGUACAGGCUCUGAAACCAACCAGGAGACACUGCCAGCUGCAGCACCUGCACUCCCCAUGGUCCCUGCACCCCCACUGCUGGCAGCUGCUCUGGCUCUGACCUACCUCCUGGGGCCUCUGGCCUAGCCUAUCGGGUCAGGUGGCAGUGCCUGUGCCUCCAGCCCUGCCCUGGCGGUGGUUGUCCAGGCUCUGCAGAGCGCAGCAGGGCUUUUCAUUAAAGACUCGGGAUAUACAUUAAAUUAACAACAACAAAUAACCACGAGUCCAGAAGUUGGCCCAAGAUUGACUUCACCAAUCUACAAGUUAACCAUUUGCACCUCUUCUUUGAUGGAGGCCAAAUUCAACACAUGGAGUUCUGAAAUUAUUCUAAUUGCAGUUUUAAAAAAUAUAUUUUGUUA